rnacentral:rRNA from 1 species
GAUGAACGCUGGCGGCGUGCUUAACACAUGCAAGUCGAACGAGAAGUGGAGACGGAAACCUUCGGGCGGAAGACUUUAUUUCGAGUGGCGGACGGGUGAGUAACGCGUGGGUACCCUGCCUCAUACAGGGGGAUAACAGUUGGAAACGACUGUUAAUACCGCAUAAGACCACGGCACCGCAUGGUGCGGGGGUAAAAACUCCGGUGGUAUGAGAUGGACCCGCGUUCGAUUAGCCAGUUGGCGGGGUAACGGCCCACCAAAGCGACGAUCGAUAGCCGAUCUGAGAGGAUGACCGGCCACAUUGGGACUGAGACACGGCCCAAACUCCUACGGGAGGCAGCAGUGGGGAAUAUUGCACAAUGGGGGAAACCCUGAUGCAGCGACGCCGCGUGAGUGAAGAAGUAUUUCGGUAUGUAAAGCUCUAUCAGCAGGGAAGAAAAUGACGGUACCUGAGUAAGAAGCCCCGGCUAACUACGUG